AGUAAUAGCGUGAUUCUUUUAGAGUCCAAGCUUUCAUUCCCAGAUCUUAAACUAUUAUGUUUUACUAGGUUGAUGAAGAUAAGGAUCUAUCCGUCACGGCAAGUGUAGAAUUGAAAAGAUUGUUCCCAAAGAAAAAGAUAAACAAGAUUAAAGAGAUGAGUUUAUCUGCAAACCAAGAAAGAGAGGAAAUGGAGAAGAAAAGACUAAAGUGGAAAGCAGAAGCUCCUAAUGAUUCGCCAGUCGUGCCAAGAGGGAAACCCGUUGAUCCUACAAAGCUGGUGGUAGAGCUUGCCCCAAUGGAAAUCCGCACCUUUGUUAUCGAUCUCAGCCAGAGUUUGUCAGCUUCAGAAGUUUGGAAGUCACAUAUGUCACUAUAAUAAGCAGUCCCCUACUAGAGUUCAUACAAAAGGCAAAGACACCAAAUGGUAUGAACCAACUUUGAAACCUAUUUGCCUAUGUUGAUCCUUGAGGAUGCAGCAUCAAGUCUGUUGUCAUAAGAUGUGUUAUCCUUUUUGUAAUGAAAUAAAAACCUCUUCGGCAGAAUAAAAAAAAUAGUGUUGAAGAGAACGAUUUCAUGUCUUAAUGUUACGCGGUGCCUUCCUGAGAUUCCUGGGAAGGGCGACGUAAGCUAUGCAACCGAUGUCCGUGUAAUUA